UAAUUGAAGCCAAAAUAGAGGCGUAUCACUGUUAAUGAUAUAAGUAGGCUAUAGCCUCAAUUAAG
rnacentral:tRNA from 1 species